AGAAAAUUUUGCAGGUUUUGGUUAUUAUCUUUAAUAUUAUCUUAGAUAGAGAUAAACUGUAAACAGCAAUUAUGUAUAGCAAAGUAAGAUCUUCAAAUAAGUCAACUUAACCAAAACGGUCAAUUGACCCCUUAAGGAGUUAUUGCUCUUUAUAGUAAAUUUUAAACAAUUUUCAUAAUUUAUGUAAAUUUUUGUAAACUU
rnacentral:lncRNA from 1 species